rnacentral:rRNA from 1 species
UACGUAGGGCGCAAGCGUUGUCCGGAAUUAUUGGGCGUAAAGAGCUCGUAGGCGGUUUGUCGCGUCUGCUGUGAAAACCUAAGGCUCAACCUUGGGCUUGCAGUGGGUACGGGCAGACUAGAGUGCGGUAGGGGUGACUGGAAUUCCUGGUGUAGCGGUGGAAUGCGCAGAUAUCAGGGAGGAACACCGAUGGCGAAAGGCAGGUCACUGGGCCGCAACUGAC